GUCGUUGCCAUGGAUCCUGGGGACGACUGGCUGGUGGAAUCCUUGCGCUUGUAAAUCGUACGGGGCUGGGACAUGGGAGCUGGGCCUGGAGCUUGCCUGGCGGGCGGAUGGGUGUGGGUGGAGGCACGUUGGGGAUCCUGGUGCAGAGUGGGCCAGCUGUGGCCUCGGGGCUCGCCACCGUGGAGGACUCCGCCUGGGCCUAGGCCCCCAUCUCUAGGAAAUGGCUCCUUCCUGCGUGCGCGCGUUGUGAGAUUACUAGUAAGAGCCGCGCUUGUGAAGACGCAGUGCCCAGUUAGUUUGCGCCAGCCUCUGAGUUCAGCUCAGAACACAGAUGAUCUCAUUGAUUCCUCACGUCAACCUUGGGAAAUCUGGGUACCCUGGGACGUCCACACAUGAGGACCGAGGCUCAGGGACAUCAAGGGACUGGCCUGGUCCCAGAAACAGGGAGUAAAAUGGGAAGUAAACUCAGUCCCACGUCUGCCUGACUCCAGAGUUUGGGCCACUGAACCAUGCGGCUGCCAUCUUGGAGUUCUUUGAGCUGUGAAGUGCUGUGCAUCGUGUGAUUCUGUGUCCCUUUUGUGCAGGUACCAGGAUUUCUAUGCAUUCGACCUGUCAGGAGCCACUCGAGUCCUUGAAUGGAUUGAUGACAAAGGAGUCUUUGUUGCUGGCUAUGAAAGCCUGAAAAAGAAUGAAAUUCUUCAUCUGAAAUUACCUCUCAGACUUUCUGUAAAGGAAAACAAGGGCUUAUUCCCAGAAAGAGAUUUCAAAGUGCGCCAUGGAGGAUUUUCAGACAGGUCUAUCUUUGAUCUAAAGCAUGUGCCACAUACCAGAUUGCUGGUUACCAGUGGCCUUCCAGGUUGUUAUCUGCAGGUGUGGCAGGUUGCAGAGGACAGUGAUGUCAUUAAAGCUGUCAGCACCAUUGCUGUGCAUGAGAAAGAGGAGAGUCUCUGGCCUAGGGUGGCCGUCUUCUCCACAUUGGCACCCGGAGUCCUCCAUGGGGCGAGGCUCCGAAGUCUGCAGGUCGUUGAUCUGGAGUCCCGGAAGACCACGUACACCUCAGAUGUCAGUGACAGUGAGGAGCUGAGUAGCCUGCAGGUCCUAGAUGCAGACACCUUUGCCUUCUGCUGUGCUUCAGGCCGGCUGGGGCUUGUUGACACCCGGCAGAAGUGGGCACCGUUGGAGAAUCGCAGCCCUGGCCCUGGGUCUGGUGGAGAGAGAUGGUGUGCUGAAGUUGGGAGCUGGGGCCAGGGCCCUGGGCCCAGCAUUGCCAGCCUUGGCUCAGAUGGGCGUCUUUGUCUUCUUGACCCCCGGGAUCUCUGCCAUCCUGUGAGCUCAGUCCAGUGCCCAGUAUCCGUACCUAGCCCUGACCCAGAGCUGCUGCGAGUGACUUGGGCCCCAGGCCUGAAGAAUUGCUUGGCCAUCUCAGGUUUUGAUGGUACAGUCCAGGUCUAUGAUGCCACAUCUUGGGAUGGAACACGGAGCCAAGAUGGAACACGGAGCCAAGUAGAACCUCUCUUCACUCACAGAGGUCACAUCUUCCUAGAUGGAAAUGGGAUGGACCCUGCUCCUUUGGUCACCACCCACACCUGGCAUCCCUGCAGACCAAGGACUUUGUUAUCAGCAACAAAUGAUGCCUCUCUGCAUGUGUGGGACUGGGUGGACCUUUGUGCCCCCCGCUGACACCAGCAUCUUUCCAUCUAGGCCUCUAGAAAGGGGAGGAGCUGCUGUAGUAGCAAGGGUGCUCAUGUAGGACUCAAGUGACUACCAGUCCCUGUUACCAGCUGUGUGGCCUUGGGCAAGUCUGCCAGCGUCACUUAGCCUCAGUUUCCUUAUCUGUAAAAUGAGGAUAGUAAGAACUACCUCGUAGUGAUAUUGCGAAGGUUAGAAGAAACGCAUGGCAUAAUUACUUGGUAGCUAUUGUUAGAUCUGGGAGUGUGAAAUGGUAGCGUUUUGUCCCUGUCUUCACACUAUCAUAGGGAGAAUCAAAAGAGCUAACAAAUAUAAACAUGCUUUGUGAAUUUUUUUAAAGAAAAAAAUGUAGAGGGGCCAAUAAACAUGAAAAAAUCCCAGCCCUAGUAGCAAUUAAGGAAAUAGCAAAACAGGAUUUCUGCUCCUCUUGAGUGGGUCUCAUGGGAACACAGGUGCACUUUCCCACACUUGUCCCCCCAGGUGACUAGGUUCAAGAGACAUUUGCUUUUGGUGGCCCCACAAACAUUUCCUUUUGAGGGCCCAUAGUGAAUAUUAAAGUGUGCUGGACAUGGUGGCUCAUGCCUGUAAUCCCAGCACUUUCAGAGGCUGAGGUGGGCAGAUUGCUUGAGCUGAGGAGUUUGAGACCAGCCUGGGCAACAUAGCAAGAUCCCUUCCCUUAAAAAAAAAAAAAAAUUUGGCUGGGCAUGGUGGCUCAUGCCUGUAAUCCCAGCAAUGUAGGCAGCCAAGACAGGUGGAUCACUUGAGUCCAGGAGUUCGAGACUAGCCUGAGCAACAUGGCGAAACCUUGUCUCUACUAAAAAUACAAGUUAGCUGGUUGUGGUGGUAUGAGCCUGCAGUCCCAGCUAUUCAAGAGGCUGAGGUGGGAGGGUUGCCUGAGCCUGGCAGUUGAAGUUUGCAGUGAGCUGUGAUCAUGCCACUGUAUUCCAGCCUGGGCAACAGAAUGAGACCCUGUUACACACACACACACAAAAUAGAUAAGUUGUUCACUCUGUCAGCAUCUAUUAGCCCUUCCCAUGUGCAACACUAAUUACAUGCUAGAAAUACAUAAAUGAGAGGCUUCCUAAGGUGGUUGAAUUUUUUUUUUUUUUUUUUUUGUAGUAGAGAUGGAGUCUUGCUCUGUCACCCAGGCUUGAGUGCAGUGGCGUGAUCUCGGCUCACUGCAACCUCCACCUCAUGGGUUCAAGCAAUGCUCCUGCCUCAGCCUGCCAAGUAGCUGGGAUUACAGGCACGUACCACCAUGCCCAGGUAAUUUUUGUAUUUUUGGUACAGACGGAGUUUCACCAUGUUGGCCAGAAUGGUCUUGAUCUCUUGACCUUGUGAUCUACCCACCUCGGCCUCCCGAAGAGCUGGGAUUACAGGUGUGAGCCACCGCGCCCGGCCAGGGGAUUUCUCCUGUGUGAAUUCGCUGGUUAAGUGAUAAUUAACUGCAGUUAAAAUUCAGGUCAAGCAUGUGGCUCAUGUCUGUAAUCCCAGUACUUUGGGAGGCUGAGGUGGGAGGAUAGCUUGAGUCCAGGAGGAGUUCGAGAUCAGCCUGGGCACCAUGGUGAACCCCUGUCUCUAAAAAAAAAGAAAGAUUUUUAUUUAAAAAACCUAAACAAAUUCAGAUAGGAAUUUAAAGAUAGACCAGGCACAGUGGCUCACGCCUGUAAUCCCAGCACUUUGUGGGGGGCCAAGGUGGGUGGAUCACUUGAGGUCAGGAGUUCAAGACCAGCCUGGCCAACAUGGUGAAACCCCGUCUCUACUAAAAAUAUAAAAAUUAGAGACGGGCAUGGUGGUGGCACACCUGUAAUCCCCACUACUCAGGAGGGUGAGGCAGGAGAAUUGCUUGAACCUGAGAGGUAGAGGCUGCAGUGAACCGAGAUUGUGCCACUGCAUUCCAGCCUGGGUGACAGGGUGAGACUCCAUCUCAAAAAAAAUAAAAUAAAGAUAAAAUCAUAAACACUCAUAAUUCAGUUAUACCUUUUUUCAAGUAACUAAAGUUCAAACUUACUUAGGGGAACAGGCUUUCCUGGGUGCCACCUGCUUCUCAAGUCCUGUGCUUUCCACACCACAGAAUAGUAAACUGGGUGCACUGAGUGCCUGGUUCCCCUCAGCCCUUAACCAGUGCUGGCUUGUCCGAGUUUAGAAUCCCAGGGCUGACUUUGUUGGUGGAAUGCUAGCUCCCAUUCAUUUCCCACCUGCACUGGACGUUUUCUGAAUCUCCUUGAAGUCCGGGAGAUCUUCAUUCCAAAGCUCUUCACUUUUCUGCAGCAUUGUGACCCCAUCUGGCUGGGGAACUGGAAGUCCUGCUCAGAGAAAAGCAGGAGGGGACAUGGAGUUCUGAAAUUCACUUUCUGCUCCCAUGUCUGGAAGUGACAGGUGAAAUGAGAAUGAUAGUGCCUCUCAAGAAGGUCUAGUUCCCAGAAGAGAAAGUUUAAUGACUCAUUUUCCCCCUUUUACUCCUUUGAGGGUACAGGAUAAUGCCCUUAUCUAUUUUCAUAAUAAUUAUAAUGAUGAUGAUAAUGAAAACUAACGUUUGCCAAGUGCUAAUACUGUGUCAGGAUCCUCAUAACAGCCCAGGGAGGUAGAAACCAUCACAAUGUCCACUGUCCAGAUGAGAAAAUGGAGGCUAAGGGUAUUUAAAGAGGUUGCCCAAGAACAACAAACCUUUUAAAUGGCAGACUGGUGUGUAUAAUCUACGCAGGGUUCACAUCUAUGGAACACUUUAUUUUAAAUUCUUUUAAUAAUAUUAUUAUUUUUCAGCUGAGUCUGGGUCUCACUCUGUCGCCCAGGCUGGAAUGCAGUGGCAUGAUCACAGCUCACUGCGGCCUCCAACUCCUGGGCUCAAGUGAUUCUCCUGCCCCAGCCUCCCGAGUAGCUGGGACUACAGGCUUGCGCCACCAUGCCCGGCUUAUAGGGCACUUUAGAUGGAAACAAAUGACUGGAUCUUUAACUCCUACCUUUCUCUCCUCUCUUCCUGUAAUGUUGUUACUGAAGGCAGGAAGGGAGACUCCUUGGCUAAAGAGCAGAGCAAGAGCCUCAAAGUGGUCUUUGUGAGCCACCCUGGACUACUGGUUCAGUAGAGGGUUGAGUCAAGCAAUAUUUGAGGACGGGAUAUAAACAGUAUUUCUUAAAGUUGUCACCAAUUUUUCCCCCGAUGAGGCCAUUCCAGACCCAAAUUAGUCAUAACAGAGCCAGGACAAUAAUCACAUCUCCUGAUUCUGAGCCUGAAUGCUUCCCACAGGACUGCGUCGCUCCCACUGCUCUGAGGUCCAUUGUGGGGGAGAGUUGCCACUGGGAUUCCACCUCAAGGCCUGGGGACCAAGCCUCCAGGAUUCCUCUUGAGACUCCUCCACUAUUUCAUUACCAUCCCGCCACAUCUUCUAGUGCUAUGCCCUGGUUCCCUUUGGAAUCCUCUCAAUCCCAAAGAAGGCCUCCUACCACCUCUAAGGCAUCAAAGGUGUUAGAAAGUGCCCCAAGACUCAACAGGGCAUCCAUCUCAUCAUAGAAGACACUGGUGCCUGGUGUGUAGGUGCUCCUGGCUUUGCAGUAGUCGGUCAGGAGGUUUUUGAACCGAUAGCAACAUUGCUCCAGGGUCCACAGGAAGCCAUGUUCUCACAGCUGCUCAGCCAUAAUCCGGUACACCUGGUGGUUUCGAUGGCAGGUGCGGAGUUUUUCGUGGAUCCAGGCCUCUGAGAAUUCCCAGAAAAAUCUUGGUUUCUUUGUAUCCCCAGUGCACUCCUGCCACCUUCUCAUCCUCCAGGGCCUGCCACUCCAGCUCGCUCCAGGUCUUGGCUUUUCUCCAGAUUAGCACCUGGCCAGACUUGACUCUCACCCCAGCCACUGAGCAGUCUUUCACACUCUCUUUUUCUCCAGAAUUUGAAGAUCUAGAUGCUGUGGGUUUUCAUCCUACUCCACGUGGGAGUUCACUUUGGGCCUAUGGAUUGGAAAAUCUGUUUGCAGGCAGACAAAAGGGAGAUGUAAUGGUUUGGUAAAUCUAAUCCCAACCAUUUUAUAUGCCAGGGAGAGGAGAUAGUAAUUUUUUUUUUUUAAUUCUGGGGGGAUUCUUGGGAAAGCUCAGUGAAAAGAACAACUAGAAAAAAAAAUUCAGGCCCAAAUGCAUAACUAUAUAUCCACGUUCAUCUAUCUUAAAUAAAAUUCAGACACAUACCUAAA